GUGUUGUGUAAAAGGAGAGACGGGUAGCACUCCCCUUGAU
rnacentral:snRNA from 1 species